AGGCAUUCCCAUUAACAUAAGGGAAAAACACAUUUCCCCUUUAUUUUAAUGUACUACGAAAUAUAUGUAUGAUAAGUUUAAUAUUAGACACUUUUUUGCAACCCCAUAGUUAGAUAUAGACUAAAGUUUACGUAUAACUCGUUAUUAGCUUAAAAUCUGCUGAAAUGAUCGACAGGCUUCAACAAAAACACAUUUUACUGGCCUGUUUGGGGAUCCUUGAUAUGAAAAUCUUAAAAUUACACUGCUGGUCCCCAGGUAUUUGUUUAAUAUUUUCAUCAUUCAACCUUUUUUUUCAGCAUUAAACCUUGUUAUCACUCCUCUGAGAUCAAGAGGACACACGAUAACUUGAAAUCAGUUAGUCCUACAGCAAGGUUACAUGCGUAAAAACACCAUUGAUUGAUUUCAAUAUUCUUACUUUUUUAUUUUUAUAUUUUUUUAUGUUUUUACUUAAAGACAGGGUAACUGCACUUUCUUAAAAGUGCUUUUUAAAUUUAAUUGCCAAAUACACAACUGUUUUAGUCCAUAGCAACAGCGCAUUUGUGCACAAUAUGAUAACCUUUGAUUUGUAUGCUGGCUUGGUGUGGUGUAGUUUCCAGACACCCCAUAAUUGCCAACAAAACAAAACAUGUGACUUCUAAAAAAUAAUAACAAAGCCUCCCUGUCCGAUUUGAAUCGAGCAAGGAUGCGUGUUAAGUAUUUCCACGUUUUGGUGUUCGCCUGUCGUGACGCUGCGGUCGACCCUGAGCUGGGUCCAUAUCCCUUUAAAAGAAGUCAGUGAUGCAAACAAACUGUUUUGUGCGCGCUGCUUUGGAUCCAGAGUCGCGCCAAAGACAAAACUUGGAGCAACUUUGCUGACCAGCGUUAAGUUUGCAUUUCUCCUCCCAGGACGCCACCGGGCAGCAAGAAGGGCUCAGACGGCUGUCUGCUGGCGUUUGAGCCGGGGCUGCGAGGAAAUAAAGAGUGGAUCCGAGGAGGAGCAGAGGAGCAGCAGGACUGAGAUUGUCUUAUACGUCACCAGCGCUCAGUACUAUGGAGUACUACAAAAGGUGACGCGCAGAAGGAGGAUUUGUGAAUGGACGCCGUGAUGUGUGCCAGCUCACAGAUCAGAGGGCUGUGGGACCUCGGCAGUUGCACCCCCAGGCCUAGCAACCCCCCCUCCCGGUCACCAUCUCUGCCUCCAGAUGAAUGGGGGUCUCUAAGAUAUCAGCUCUGUCACCAUUGCAGGGGUCGAACCAAAUCCUCCAGCUUCCUGUCCCUUUCAAAACCUGAAAGCACGUCUCUCCUAUUUGAUGAUCCUGUAUGAUUUUUUUGUUGCGCUUUUGUGGGUCUGGAAGCCGACUGCCCCCUGUUUUUCAUCCCGGGUCAGCCAAGAGCAUGGCAGCCGAAUUAGAAAAGAUUAGAAGAGGACGUAAUUGCAUGUAGUGGACAAUGCAAAAAGUCAAUUAGUUUAAAGAUGCAGUUGACCUAAAAUGUUUUUUGGUUUUUUUGGGGGGAAAAUUAGGGGAGAUUGUGGCUACCCCUGUACGCCAUUGUUUCCUCAAGUGUUUUGCUGAAACAAAGCGAUGAUCAGGGCAGAUCUGAGGAAAAAGAAAAGUUUUAGCAAAUUUAGUUAUUGACAAUUUUCAUUUUAGACUAAGAUAAGAAAUCUUUUUAAUGUUACUUCGGAGCUUUGUCUACUUUUACUACAUUUUACUGGCCAGUUGCUGCUUGGAGAUUGUUCAUUCAAAAGACCUAAAACGAAACAAAACUUUGGGCUGGCUUUGCAAGUAAAUCAUACCGAUUAAUGUUUCCCCUGACAAAAAAAUGCAUGCUAUAAUUUCUCUUCACUGUUUAUUCGUCGAAUAUCCCACUGCAGAUAGAUGAUGUCUAAAUAAUUUCUUUUCCCUUU